CAGUGUAAACUUCACCAAGAGUGCUGCAACGUAGAAUGCCAAAUUUGAGUUAACUGAAACAGGUGGUUACAUGGACCACUGAAGCUAUGUGACGCACUAGGAAUAAGAGGUGCCUACGGGUGUAUGUCAAUAAGGAUAUAGGCAUUGAAAAAGGGAACAUUUACAAUCAUUUUGUAAGUGAUGCAACUGGAGGAGCAACUGUUAUGCAAACAGAGAUAGGUACUCCAGCUGAUCCCUUCCCAGCAAGCAUUGCAUGAUUGGUUCUUAGAGAAAGUGAAAAAGGUUGUUUCUUGCUCUUGUGUUGUUGUAAAAGUGUCACAAGGCACUGUGAUUGCUAGAGGUCCAUGUGGAACUGUAUACCAUGGUCUGUGGGAUGGAUCAGUACUUCUACGCAUCAAUGUUAGCUUCAUGAGUAUUAAAAACUAAAAAGGCCUUAAGGAAAUUGCAAAAGAAUGCUCAAAAGAAGAGAAGGCAUCAUGAUGUGGUUCGAGCUGAAUGGGCAAAUCAUGUUAUACAGUUUGAAUUUUGGUUCUGUUUAAGGUAGAUGAGUAGCACUUUGAACUGUUUUUGUGCAUUCAUAUAUAACUGAUGGAAAGUGUUGAUGAACUUAAAUUAUGCAUGCAGUUGCUCUGUCUAGCUACUCUUUCUUUACCUUAUAGGUUGUUGACUUGGUGCACUAGGUAAAUGAUCGAGAUAAGAUGGUUUUUUGGUUCUCUUGAUCAUAAUGUAACUGUUGGCUAGGUUUAGAGUUGGAACUAUGGAUUGUAUUUUGGAUGAUGUUGAUGCAAUUAAUGAAACGAAGCCAUCAUUUUCAAUGC